rnacentral:lncRNA from 1 species
AACAAUGCAACGAUUCAUCAACCAAAUGUAUAAACCAAUAUAUUUAUCAAUACAGUAGGUACGUGAAUAUUAUUCAAACAUAUCAAAAAUCACUACCAUGUUUUAGGUAUGUGCGUUAGCUUUCUAACGCUUCAAAUACCAUCAAAAUCGGACUUACGAAAUAAAAGUUAUGACCAAAAUCGUCGGGAUGUGUCAACAAUUCAUUAACCGAACGUAAGAACAAAAACUUCACCAACACAGUAGACAUAGGAAUAAUACUCAAC